GGGGGGUUUUUAAAGGGAAAAAAGGGGUGACCCCCUUUUUUUAAAAAACCCCCAAAAAAAAAAAGGGUUAAAUUUGGGGGGGGGGGGCCCCCCCCCCCCAAAUCCCCGGGGGGCCCCAAAAAGG